AGUGAACGCUGGCGGUAGGCCUAACACAUGCAAGUCGAACGGCAGCACAGUAAGAGCUUGCUCUUACGGGUGGCGAGUGGCGGACGGGUGAGGAAUACAUCGGAAUCUACUUUUUCGGGGGGGAUAACGUAGGGAAACUUACGCUAAUACCGCAUACGACCUACGGGUGAAAGCAGGGGAUCUUCGGACCUUGCGCGACUGAAUGAGCCGAUGUCGGAUUAGCUAGUUGGCGGGGUAAAGGCCCACCAAGGCGACGAUCCGUAGCUGGUCUGAGAGGAUGAUCAGCCACACUGGAACUGAGACACGGUCCAGACUCCUACGGGAGGCAGCAGUGGGGAAUAUUGGACAAUGGGCGAAAGCCUGACCCAGCCAUACCGCGUGGGUGAAGAAGGUCUUCGGGUUGUAAAGCCCUGUUGUUGGGAAAGAAAAGCAGCAGGUUAAUACCCCGCUGUUCUGACGGUACCCAAAGAAUAAGCACCGGCUAACUUCGUG
rnacentral:rRNA from 1 species